UGGGGAAUAUUGCACAAUGGGCGCAAGCCUGAUGCAGCCAUGCCGCGUGUAUGAAGAAGGCCUUCGGGUUGUAAAGUACUUUCAGCGGGGAGGAAGGGAGUAAAGUUAAUACCUUUGCUCAUUGACGUUACCCGCAGAAGAAGCACCGGCUAACUCCGUGCCAGCAGCCGCGGUAAUACGGAGGGUGCAAGCGUUAAUCGGAAUUACUGGGCGUAAAGCGCACGCAGGCGGUUUGUUAAGUCAGAUGUGAAAUCCCCGGGCUCAACCUGGGAACUGCAUCUGAGACUGGGAAGCUUGAGUCUCGUAGAGGGGGGUAGAAUUCCAUGUGUAGCGGUGAAAUGCGUAGAGAUGUGGAGGAAUACCGGUGGCGAAGGCGGCCCCCUGGACAAAGACUGACGCUCAGGUGCGAAAGCGUGGGGAGCAAACAGG
rnacentral:rRNA from 1 species